rnacentral:rRNA from 1 species
UACGUAGGUGGCAAGCGUUAUCCGGAUUUAUUGGGCGUAAAGCGAGCGCAGGUGGUUUAUUAAGUCUGGUGUAAAAGGCAGUGGCUCAACCAUUGUAUGCAUUGGAAACUGGUAGACUUGAGUGCAGGAGAGGAGAGUGGAAUUCCAUGCGUAGCGGUGAAAUGCGUAGAUAUAUGGAGGAACACCGGUGGCGAAAGCGGCUCUCUGGCCUGUAACUGACACUGAGGCUCGAAAGCGUGGGGAGCAAACAGG